rnacentral:rRNA from 1 species
AAUUUUGGACAAUGGGGGGAACCCUGAUCAAGCCAUCCCGCGUGUGUGAUGAAGGCCUUCGGUUUGUAAAGCACUUUUGACAGGUAAGAACCAACACUUGCUAAUACCCACUGCCAAUGUCGGUACCUGUAGAAUAAGCACCGGCCAACUAAGUGCAAGAAGCCGCGGUGAUACGUAGGGUGCAAGCGUUAAACGGAAUUACUGGGCGUAAAGGGUACGCAGGCGGCUAAGAAAGAAGGAUGUGAAAACCCAGGGCUCAACCUUGGAACUGCAUUCUUAACUGCCUAGCUAGAGUAUGUCAGAGGGGGGUAGAAUUCCACGUGUAGCAGUGAAAUGCGUAGAUAUGUGGAGGAAUACCGACGGCGAAGGCAGCCCCCUGGGAUAAUACUGACGCUCAGGUACGAAAGCGUGGGGAGCAAACAG